rnacentral:tRNA from 1 species
ACCGGCCAUGGCGCGGUUGAACGUACCGCGUCCGUGCCGGUCCUUCCGGUGCCGGUCGUGCAACUCGGCCGGCCCGUC